rnacentral:rRNA from 1 species
UACAGGGGGUGCAAACGUUGCUCGGAAUCAUUGGGCGUAAAGCGCACGUAGGCGGUUCGUUAUGUCGGAUGUGAAAGCCCUUGGCUUAACCGAGGAAGUGCAUCCGAAACUGGCGAGCUAGAGUACUAAAGAGGAUCGCGGAAUUCCCGGUGUAGAGGUGAAAUUCGUAGAUAUCGGGAGGAACACCGGUGGCGAAGGCGGCGAUCUGGGUAGAUACUGACGCUGAGGUGCGAAAGCGUGGGUAGCAAACAGG